UACGGGGGGAGCAAGCGUUGUUCGGAUUUACUGGGCGUAAAGGGCGCGAGUAGGCGGCCAGCACAAGUCAGUUGUGAAAUCUCCGGGCUUAACCCGGAAAGGUCAGCCGAUACUGCGGGGCUAGAGUGCAGAAGGGGCAACUGGAAUUCUCGGUGUAGCGGUGAAAUGCGUAGAUAUCGAGAGGAACACCUGCGGCGAAGGCGGGUUGCUGGGCUGACACUGACGCUGAAGUGACGAAGACUAGGGGAGCGAACGGG
rnacentral:rRNA from 1 species